rnacentral:lncRNA from 1 species
UAAGAUGGAAAAGAAAUAAAUAAGAGGACACUACCUCUCUAACCCACUACCACUCCCUACACGUUUUCUCUUCUCACACUGAUUACACAAAUCACUCAUUCCCACCUUCACUCUCUCUCAUAACAAACCACUCAUUUCCAUUACUAAGCAAAACAAAUAGAAAAAUAGAAAAAGUAAAGAUGAACCACUGUUCAUCUUCCUAAUCUCCACUGAAACCCCAAAACAAC